rnacentral:rRNA from 1 species
AUUGAACGCUGGCGGCAGGCCUAACACAUGCAAGUCGAGCGGAUGAAGGGAGCUUGCUCCUGGAUUCAGCUGCGGACGGGGGAGUAAUGCCUAGGAAUCUGCCUGGUAGUGGGGGAUAACGUCCGUAAACGGGCGCUAAUACCGCAUACGUCCUGAUGGCGAAAGGGGGGGAUCUUCGGACCUCACGCUAUCAGAUGAGCCUAGGUCCGAUUAGCUAGCUGGUGGGGGAAAGGCCUACCAAGGCGACGACCCGUAACUGGUCUGAGAGGAUGAUCAGUCACACUGGAACUGAGACACGGCCCAGACUCCUACGGGGGGCAGCAGUGGGGAAUAUUGGACAAUGGGCGAAAGCCUGAUCCAGCCAUGCCGCGUGUGUGAAGAAGGUCUUCGGAUUGUAAAGCACUUUAAGUUGGGAGGAAGGGCAGUAAGUUAAUCCCUUGCUGUUUUGACGUUACCAACAGAAUAAGCACCGGCUAACUUCGUG